rnacentral:lncRNA from 1 species
CAGUGUGAGACCCUAUCUCAAAAAAAAAGUGAUGUCGGGAGGCUGAGAGGAUGAGUGACUGGGGCAGGAGAUGAGUACUUUCCCUUUUAAGCCCAUAGCAUUUAAUUCCCUGGUGGUUCACUUCUUAUUUGGAUAACUAACAAAUUAUUUCAAAUGUGUGCCUAUAGGUGAGAGAAGCAAUGGUACAUGAGGAGAAAUUUGGAGACAGACAACUUGUCACGCAUACAGGGAAAAUGACAUUUGAAGACAAAGUCAGACAUCUACAAGCCAAGGAAUGCCAGAGAUUGCCAGCAAACCACCAAAAACUAAGGAAAGGGAUGGAACAUAUACUUUCUUGUAGCCCUCAGAAGGAACCAACUAUGCCAACACUUUGAUCUCAGACUUCUGGCUUCCACAACUGUAACAAUAAAUUUAUGUCGUUUAAG